GAACGAGAAAGUGGAGCAAUCCAUGAGUAAAGUGGCGACCGGGUGAGUAACACGUGACUAACCUACCUUCGAGUGGGGGAUAACCUAGGGAAACCUGGGCUAAUACCGCAUAACAUCUUUGGAGUGGAAAUUCUGGAGAUCAAAGGGGCAAUUCGCUUGAAGAGGGGGUCGCGGCUGAUUAGCUAGUUGGCGGGGUAAUGGCCCACCAAGGCGAAGAUCGGUAGCCGGCCUGAGAGGGCGCACGGCCACACUGGAACUGAAACACGGUCCAGACUCCUACGGGAGGCAGCAGUGGGGAAUUUUGCGCAAUGGGGGAAACCCUGACGCAGCAACGCCGCGUGGAGGAUGAAGUCCCUUGGGAUGUAAACUCCUUUCGAUCGGGACGAUGAUGACGGUACCGGAAGAAGAAGCACCGGCUAACUCUGUG
rnacentral:rRNA from 1 species